AUUGAACGCUGGCGGCAUGCCUUACACAUGCAAGUCGAACGGCAGCACGGGGCAACCUGGUGGCGAGUGGCGAACGGGUGAGUAAUGCAUCGGAACGUGCCAUUGAGUGGGGGAUAACGUAGCGAAAGUUGCGCUAAUACCGCAUAUUCUGUGAGCAGGAAAGCAGGGGACCGCAAGGCCUUGCGCUCUUUGAGCGGCCGAUGUCAGAUUAGCUAGUUGGUGAGGUAACGGCUUACCAAGGCGACGAUCUGUAGCGGGUCUGAGAGGAUGAUCCGCCACACUGGAACUGAGACACGGUCCAGACUCCUACGGGAGGCAGCAGUGGGGAAUUUUGGACAAUGGGCGCAAGCCUGAUCCAGCCAUGCCGCGUGAGUGAAGAAGGCCUUCGGGUUGUAAAGCUCUUUCGGCCGGGAAGAAAUCGCAUGGGCCAAUACCCUGUGUGGAUGACGGUACCGGAAUAAGAAGCACCGGCUAACUACGUGCCAGCAGCCGCGGUAAUACGUAGGGUGCGAGCGUUAAUCGGAAUUACUGGGCGUAAAGCGUGCGCAGGCGGUUUUGUAAGACAGGCGUGAAAUCCCCGGGCUUAACCUGGGAACUGCGCCUGUGACUGCAAGGCUAGAGUACGGCAGAGGGGGGGGAAUUCCACGUGUAGCAGUGAAAUGCGUAGAGAUGUGGAGGAACACCAAUGGCGAAGGCACCCCCUGGGUCGAUACUGACGCUCAUGC
rnacentral:rRNA from 1 species